rnacentral:rRNA from 1 species
CCCGCAGCCCCGAGAGUAGUCUGAUGCAGCAUGCCGCGUGAGGGAUGAGGCCCUUGGGGUGGUAAACCUCUUUCCCUGGGGGAGAAAAAUUUGGUCGCCCCUUAAGGGGGCCGGGCUGUUUUGCUGCCGGCCGCCCCGGUAUUAUUUUAGCCC